UUUUCCAGGCAAGAGUACUGGAGUGGGUUGCCAUUGCCUUCUCCAACCACCCUAUGAAGUAAAUAAUAUUAUUAUUCCCAUUUAUACAGAUGAGAAAACAGACUCCUGAGAAACAAGUUAUGAAGCUCAGGGUCCCAGCUAACGAAAGGCUGAGCCAGGUUUUGAACCGGGGUCUUGAGACCUGGAGCUGGUCACCAUUCAUAGGAAACUAUCUAAGGAGCAACAAACCUUUUAAGUUGACAGCCUUACCUUUCAAUCCCCCAAACCACCUCACAGGCCGCAAGGAACCCCCAGCAAUUGGAGAGUGGAAGAGAGUGAAACAAACAUAAGCUCCCGAGCUUGUCCCAUCCAGACGGUGCUUGUGUCUGAGUUGUCACUUAGUUCAAGGAUGGCCAAAUGAAAUCCUGUGACCCUAAACUGAGCCAUCAGUCAAUUCAGAGACCACUAGGAAUUUGGAAGUACAAACAGUCAAAGCCACUGGCUAGAGAGUCAAGUUUCUAUCAUCUGCCUAUCAAGAUUCUGAUCUCCAGGGAGACUUCCCUAGGGUCCACCAGUGGGUAAAGCUGUGGGGAUCUGCGCAUGACCUAGGAGGGUAUGAAGGACGGAGUUUAUUGCGAAAGGGGAGUGGGUUGAGGCUGAAGGAAAUCUCUCUUUAGGGAGAGCUGCCGAGGCAUGACUCAGAUUUCAGAGGCGCCUGGGCAGAGGGGAACGUUCAUGCUCACGUCCCCUGUGAGGCUGGGGAGCCUGGUGACUAACUCCCAGGCACACCUGCCUUGGGCUGAGUGUCCUGGGUGGCAGGAGCAAAGGAAGAGACGAGACAGGAACGCACUGUUUCCCUGGGGAGGCCAGCUAGGCCCAUCCCUAACGAUAGCAACAAUAGCUUACAUCAUUAGGACUGAGUGUACAAGAGUGGUGUAAGCGCUUUGCAUGUGUUACCUCAUGUAAAACCUUACAAAGUAGAAGCUUAAAGAUGAACAAACGGAGGAUCAAAGAGACCAAAGGACUUGCCCAAGGUCACACAGGGAGGAAACGGCAGCCUCAAGAUCGGAACUCCAGUAGCUCAUCUCCAGAAUCGAAGUUCUCAGCCAGAGGAGCUUUGCUGUGUACGUGUGUGUGCACCGAGGCGGGUGCGUCUGCAGAUGACAGUGAACUCUCAUGGAAUCCUCCAGCACACACGAAUCACUGUCAUCUGAGAGUAAAACCGAUUUCACAAAACUACAGCCACAGACAGAGAAAGGUGGAAAGGUUUUCCCCAACAGACGAAUCUGAUGAAGGUUCACCCAACCAGGCUUCUGUGUGA
rnacentral:lncRNA from 1 species